UACGAAGGGGGGCUAGCGUUGUUCGGAAUUACUGGGCGUAAAGCGCACGUAGGCGGACUAUUAAGUCAGGGGUGAAAUCCCGGGGCUCAACCCCCGGAACUGCCUUUGAUACUGGUAGUCUCGAGUCCGGAAGAGGUGAGUGGAAUUCCGAGUGUAGAGGUGAAAUUCGUGAGAUAUUCGGAGGAACACCAGUGGCGAAGGCGGCUCACUGGUCCGGUACUGACGCUGAGGUGCGAAAGCAUGGGGAGCGAACAGG
rnacentral:rRNA from 1 species